rnacentral:rRNA from 1 species
AUUGAACGCUGGCGGCAGGCUUAACACAUGCAAGUCGAACGCGUGGCGGAAGGGUGAGUAAUGCAUGGGAAUCUAGCUGAUGGAUGGGGAUAACUACGGGGAACUGUAGCCAAUACCGCGUACCAUAGGAUGAGCCCAAGUGGGAUGAGGUAGGUGGUGAGGUAAAGGCGCACCAAGCCGAAGAUCUCUAGCUGGUCUGAGAGGAUGACCAGCCACACUGGGACUGAGACACGGCCCAGACUCCUACGGGAGGCAGCAGUGGGGAAUAUUGCGCAAUGGGGGCAACCUGACGCAGCCAUGCCGCGUGAAUGAAGAAGGCCUUCGGGUUGUAAAGUUCUUUCGGUAGCGAGGCGUUAACUACAGAAGAAGCACCGGCUAACUUCGUGCCAGCAGCCGCGGUAAUUC